AUAUAUUAGAUCGCAACUUGCAUGAUAAGGAAACCAAAAAUGAUGGUGCGAAAUAAAAUUUUGAUUAUCCUUAAAACUACCACAAUGCAUAUAAAAUUACACUAAAAGCUCUCAUAUGUCGGAAAAUGUUGAAUAUUUGCUUUAGAAUUGAAAGCUCUUUUACUGCAGUAAUCUUAUUAAGAUAGAUCUAGUCAACUAAUCGAACCUAGUAUGUAGUAGUUGAUUUCUAUUUGAAUUUUGAAUAAAUAGUACUUUUAAGACUUAAGCAGUUUGUUAUUUUCAAGAGUCUUUUUUUGCUUAUCUUUAGGUUUUGAAGUUAGUAUUCUAUUAUAAAUUAGUAUUAUAUUGCAGUAAAAUGAUAUCGAACUUUCAACUUCAUUUCAUAAGUUCUUUUUGUUAUUGUUCUUCGUUCUUAUUCUUUCAUUAUUCCUAAAUAUUUUCCUGCAAUUUCUUCUCUUUCAAAACAGACCUUGGGAUUAUCUAAAGAAAAACUUAGCUGAGAUAAAUGAGUACGUGGGAUGCAAGUAUUGAAUUUAAUAAGGGGAUUCGAGUCCAGAGAAUGAAAGAUUCUCAUCCAGCCAAAGAAUACUCAAACAUAUUGCUUGACAUUAUUAACAAGGAGCAAAGGAGACUUAUUAGGCAAGAUAGAAUGGUUGAAAGAGCCUUAGCCACCAGUCACAAAACUCAAAGCAGGGGUAAAAUUAAAAACUUACCAACCUUGUGAGCACUGGGAAAAAUGGGUCAUCCACCAUUCGGAUGUUGGAAAAGGCCGAAAGGUGAAGUGCAACAAUUUCCAGCAGCUUGGUCAUGAAGCAAUGAUUUGCAAAAAUAAAUCUAAGAACCAUAAAACAGAUGUACGUGCCGCCAAUCAAGAAGAAGAAGACCAUCUUUUUGUUGCAACAUAUAUCUCAAGUAAGGUUUCAGCCAAAAAAUAAUGGUUAACUGAUAGAGGUUACACUAACCAAAUGACUUACGACAAGAGUUUGUUCAAGGAGCUAGCCUACUGAAAUUUCCAAAGUUUACAAUAAAAAAAGGAGACCAAAUUCUUGUUGAAGGAAAAGGAAUUGUCAUCAUCAAAACAAGUUCAUGUAACAAGACAUUUUCAGAUGUUCUAUACGUAACCUCAUAUUGAUCAGAUUUGUUGAUUAUUUGUCAGUUGGUAGAUAAAGGAUUCAAACUAUCCUUUGAGGAUAAACAUUGCUUCAUCAGCGAUGAUACUGAAAAAGAGAUGUUUAAAAAUUUAAGAUGAAGAAAACAUUUCUCAUUUGAUCCAAUGGAAGAUGUUCCUGUAAAACAUGCAAAA